rnacentral:rRNA from 1 species
AGUGAACGCUGGCGGUAGGCCUAACACAUGCAAGUCGAACGGCAGCACAGUAAGAGCUUGCUCUUACGGGUGGCGAGUGGCGGACGGGUGAGGAAUACAUCGGAAUCUACUUUUUCGUGGGGGAUAACGUAGGGAAACUUACGCUAAUACCGCAUACGACCUACGGGUGAAAGCAGGGGAUCUUCGGACCUUGCGCGAUUGAAUGAGCCGAUGUCGGAUUAGCUAGUUGGCGGGGUAAAGGCCCACCAAGGCGACGAUCCGUAGCUGGUCUGAGAGGAUGAUCAGCCACACUGGAACUGAGACACGGUCCAGACUCCUACGGGAGGCAGCAGUGGGGAAUAUUGGACAAUGGGCGCAAGCCUGAUCCAGCCAUGCCGCGUGGGUGAAGAAGGCCUUCGGGUUGUAAAGCCCUUUUGUUGGGAAAGAAAAGCAGCAGGUUAAUACCCCGCUGUUCUGACGGUACCCAACGAAUAAGCACCGGCUAACUUCGUG